rnacentral:rRNA from 1 species
CCUAACACAUGCAAGUCGAACGGUAACAGGAAACAGCUUGCUGUUUCGCUGACGAGUGGCGGACGGGUGAGUAAUGUCUGGGAAACUGCCUGAUGGAGGGGGAUAACUACUGGAAACGGUAGCUAAUACCGCAUAACGUCGCAAAACCAAAGAGGGGGACCUUCGGGCCUCUUGCCAUCGGAUGUGCCCAGAUGGGAUUAGCUAGUAGGUGGGGUAACGGCUCAUCUAGGCGACGAUCCCUAGCUGGUCUGAGAGGAUGACCAGCCACACUGGAACUGAGACACGGUCCAGACUCCUACGGGAGGCAGCAGUGGGGAAUAUUGCACAAUGGGCGCAAGCCUGAUGCAGCCAUGCCGCGUGUAUGAAGAAGGCCUCCGGGUUGUAAAGUACU